UACGAAAGGGGCUAGCGUUGUUCGGAAUUACUGGGCGUAAAGCGCACGUAGGCGGCCUUGUAAGUUGGGGGUGAAAUCCCCGGGCUCAACCCGGGAACUGCCUUCAAGACUGCAAAGCUAGAGGAUGCGAGAGGUUGGCGGAAUUCCGAGUGUAGAGGUGAAAUUCGUAGAUAUUCGGAAGAACACCAGUGGCGAAGGCGGCCAACUGGCGCAUAUCUGACGCUGAGGUGAGAAAGCGUGGGGAGCAAACAGG
rnacentral:rRNA from 1 species